rnacentral:snoRNA from 1 species
ACUCGAGCUGAUAACUGGAUGGAUUGUCAGUUGACCAUCUCUCUCUGUCUUUUAAGUGCUCGAAAUAAUAAUUUGGGAGAAUGCUUCUUACACGUUGAUGCUGCUCUCCUAGCGGCUUGGACGUUUACUUUCUCUUGACAUCU